UAUAGGUCUUUGAUUACUUGCACGCAAGCCAAGGUUGUCUGCCUGUGGACAAAUUUUAAUGAUUAUUUAAACACAUAUUUGCAGAAUAUUUAAAAAGUCUCUGUAUUAAGAAAUAAUUAAAUUCGUAAUGUUUAUUGUACACAUUUAUUUCAGAAAAUAAAAUAUUCACCACCACCUGGUUUGCCAACAUCGUCUUUACAAGGAAUGUCCAGCAGUGCAUGACAGAGGCCGGUCACUCCCAUUAAGUCCAGCUGAAGAGCCUUCCCAGUUCAUAGGACAAAAUGCAGUUACACAGAUUUUAACGGUGUUGGAAACAAUGAGAGACGAGAACAGGGAAAUGAAGUGGAUGCUGCAGCGGCUCUUGGCUAGGUCAGCUACUGAUGACGAGCCAAUGCAACUGCCAGAGAACAUCAGUCUUCCAAUUGGAACAUUUGAGCAAAUGGAUGAGUUUGAAGAGCAUCUUGGUGAUGAAGCUACGAUCCAUCUUUUCUAGGACUGCUGCAUAGUUCAAGCUUUUUUAUCAAAUAUAUUAAGCAAUGUUGUAAAUGUA